rnacentral:rRNA from 1 species
CCUGGCCUUGACAUACUAAGAACUUUCCAGAGAUGGAUUGGUGCCUUCGGGAACUUAGAUACAGGUGCUGCAUGGCUGUCGUCAGCUCGUGUCGUGAGAUGUUGGGUUAAGUCCGCAACGAGCGCAACCCUUUUCCUUAUUUGCCAGCGGGUAAUGCCGGGAACUUUAAGGAUACUGCCAGUGACAAACUGGAGGAAGGCGGGGACGACGUCAAGUCAUCAUGGCCCUUACGGCCAGGGCUACACACGUGCUACAAUGGUCGGUACAAAGGGUUGCUACCUCGCGAGAGGAUGCUAAUCUCAAAAAGCCGAUCGUAGUCCGGAUCGCAGUCUGCAACUCGACUGCGCGAAGUCGGAAUCGCUAGUAAUCGCGGAUCAGAAUGCCGCGGUGAAUACGUUCCCGGGCCUUGUACACACCGCCCGUCACACCAUGGGAGUUUGUUGCACCAGAAGUAGGUAGUCUAACCGCAAGGAGGACGCUUACCACGGUGUGGCCGAUGACUGGGGUGAAGUCGUAACAAGGUAAGCGUAGAUGA